rnacentral:lncRNA from 1 species
AAAAAAAAAAAAAAAAAAAAGUCCGAUUAAUUGAAUUAACAUCUCAAAAUUAAAUUUUUUUUUUCAACUUUAAUUUGGUCACAAAAUUUCUUGACCAUUAUCGUUUGUUGAAAUUUGCACAAAGCUACCUGAUACGCUUGAAUGAGGCAUCAACAUUGCCUCCGAAAUGAACGCAUCGUCAGUAUAAAGAAAUUGACACUAAAACCUAAAUUCAAUGACACUUAAUUAAGAGAGAGAAUGCGUAAAAUUAAAGCACGAGAAAAAACAAUAUUGUUCGAAAAGAAGAAUAAGAAUAAGAUCCACCUUUGCAGCUUGAGCCAGCCCGUGGAAAUGCGCCAAAAUAUGGUGAUCCCAAUUUUCCUUGGCAUCGAUUUUGUGCAGUGCGAAUUUUCUCAGCUUCCCCAGAGGCGACUUCAUUUCCGAGCACUAAAUUUUUCGUAUCAAUUGAAGAAUAUAUUUCCACCUUAGACUUUACCAAUACAAAAACAGAAUUAUUUAAGACAAACAAAAACGAAGGCUCGAAUUAUUUACGAUAAAAGGAUCGAACGAGCUAUACAGGAAAAAAUAAAAUAGCAAAAAGAAAAAGGCGUUCAAAGAGGAAAAUUGAAGAGGAGAAAAUUCUAAUGUCAAGCGCCCAUGUUAAAAGGGCGACUCCU